CAAAAUAUAGCUUAAUCCAAAGCAUUUCGUUUACACCGAAAAAAUAUCUGUAAAACCCAGAUUAUUUUGA
rnacentral:tRNA from 1 species